AUCGAUUCCAGGAUUAAAGACCCAUCCUUUAGUCCUGAGUCAUGGAACCCGAACUAAAGGUGGACCUGUCCUGGUUGGUUUUUGAUACAAACCAUGACUAAAAGGUUUGCGCCCAAAGUGAUCCUGGGCCGCCACGUAGCACACCUUCAGUCUCGGUUGGUGUUACAAACCGGGACUAAAGGUAUAUCUUGUUUUUUUUUGUUUUCUUUUCAUUUCAUUAUUUAUUUUGGUUUUAAAAUAGGUUUUCGAAUACGCAUUCUACACCUCUAAUCUAUGUGUAUACGCGCGCAUAUUAUGAUAAUAUAUUUCAAGUAUUAUACAAUUAAAGUAUGAAACUAUAUAUUACAUGCAUUGAUGGAGCAAGAUAUAUGUAUAUAUACAUAAAUACUAACGUAAAAUAUGAAAUAUACAAAAGCUUGCAUUCUAUAUGCAUGUCCAUCGGAUAACAUUCAAUCUGAAUUAAUUAUCAUCUAUCUUCGGCGGUCGGGUAUAGCAAUUUCUUGUGAUCCUCUAGCAUGCACUCGAACUUGAUCUUGUCGUUUUUACUUUUGCAUUCUCUCUGUGCAUCACGAAUAGCAUCACCAAGAUCAUCCGAGUGCUCAUCUUGUACCGCUACCUCUUCUUCAAGUUUUUGGAAUGAAAUAUCAUUUAAAAAGGAACAAUAUUCAGCAAUAAUAUCGUCAUGGUCCAAUUAUUCUUCUCCAUCUUCUUUCAUCAUAAACCCGCUUUCUCCAUGCUUGGUUUAAUAAAUAUAGUUUGGCAUGAAACCCGACUUAAAUAAGUGUAAAUGUAGAGUCCUUACACUAGCAUAUUCUGUCAAAUUCUUACAUAUGGCACAUGGACAGCACACGAAACCACCCUGCUUAUUUGUCGGCCACACAUAAAAUGCAUACCAUCAAUGAACUCUUGGGAGCGACAAUCAACGUUAUACAUCCAAUUCCAUGAUCUCAUCUACAUUUACAUGACAUAACAUAUGAAAACCUUGAACAUAAUAACUAGUUAAAUUACACUACUUGCAUGACACCAAAAGUCUGCUAAAUUUAAUAAAGACUUUCUACAAUGUAAAUGCUCGCAACUAGCAUUAUACAAAGUAAGCCUAAAAUAAACUUCAGCGGCAA
rnacentral:lncRNA from 1 species